GUGCUCACUUUGGCAGCACACAUAAUAAAAUUGAAAUGAUACAGCGAAAAUUAGCAUGGCCCCUAAGCAAGAAU
ensembl:snRNA U6 U6 spliceosomal RNA